UAGGGAAUAUUGGGCAAUGCCCGCAAGGGUGACCCAGCCAUGCCGCGUGCAGGAAGAAGGCUUUCCGAGUUGUAAACUGCUUUUGGAAGGGAACAAAACGGGCUUGCGAGCCAACUUGAGUGUACCUUCAGAAUAAGCACCGGCUAACUCCGUGCCAGCAGCCGCGGUAAUACGGAGGGUGCAAGCGUUGUCCGGAUUUAUUGGGUUUAAAGGGUGCGUAGGCGGCUUAUUAAGUCAGGGGUGAAAGACUGCAGCUUAACUGUAGCAGUGCCUUUGAUACUGAUGAGCUUGAGUACAGAUGAGGCCGGCGGAAUGGGUGGUGUAGCGGUGAAAUGCAUAGAUACCAUCCAGAACACCGAUUGCGAAGGCAGCCGGCUAAACUGUAACUGACGCUGAGGCACGAAAGCGUGGGGAUCGAACAGGAUUAGAUACCCUGGUAGUCCACGCCGUAAACGAUGAAGACUCGAUGUUAGGGAUAUACUCUUAGCGUCCAAGCGAAAGCGUUAA
rnacentral:rRNA from 1 species